rnacentral:rRNA from 1 species
UGACCUCAAAUCAGGUAGGACUACCCGCUGAACUUAAGCAUAUCAAUAAGCGGAGGAAAAGAAACUAACAAGGAUUCCCCUAGUAACUGCGAGUGAAAG